UAAACCUGAGAAACCCAAAAGAUCGAAUGGGGAGAUUCAUCGUCAGCGGCGCUGGCUUCCGUGUGAAUGCGAUGGUCGGGACCUCGGUUCCGUGUCACGCGUUUGCUGCGGUAUGUCCGGCAUCGUCGGCGUGCACUUCUCCCCUAGUAGGACGUCGCGACCCGUUGGGUGCCGGCCUACGGCCCGGUUGGUCGACUGUCGCGUCUCGUUCACGCGAGCACGCGGCAGACCAUCGGUUGCCCGGCCGGCUGCCCGGCGGUAUAGAUCGCUAUAAAACGGUAUUGGGCCGCAUUAAGUGCGUUCUGGCUCGUCGGCAGGCUCGUCUCGCUCGGAUUUACGGACCUAGCGCCGUUGCCGGGCGCUUGGCGUGGCCGUUAGUCGACGAUGUCCUCGGACUGGCUCUUACAUUCGA
rnacentral:rRNA from 1 species